rnacentral:lncRNA from 1 species
GGAAAGGGACGCCAGAGGCUGCAAGUCCAAAGCAAAUUAGCUACGAUUUGCAAAAUUCCAAGGAGAGGAUGCGGUGGAGGUGGGGGAGGGGGAGUGUUAGAGGUAUUAUAAUGAAAUAAUGGUCAGGUUUAAUUGCUUAUCUCAACAAAACUAUGAAAUCAGAGCAGCAGGUGACAUGAAGGAGGCAACUACCAAAAAUGCCAUGUCUAUAUGCAGAAAUGCCAGCGUGAAUGUCCUCCACAAUGUUAGCAAUGGUCAGGUUGGGGAUGGGCUGUUGCGGGUGAUUUCUUUACAUGGUAUUUGCUUAUAGUGCUUGGAUUUUUUUUCUUUCUUUUUUUUUUUUUUUGCCAAUGUAUUUAAAUUUUCACAAAAACAAAAGCCUUUUUAAAAGCAAAAAGAUAGGUCAGGAGUUCGAGACCAGCCUGGCCAACAUGGUGAAACCCCCAUCUCUACUAAAAAUACAAAAAUUAGCCGGGCAUGGUGACGCGCACCCGUAAUCCCAGCUACUUAGGAAGCUGAGGCAGGAGAAUGGCUUGAACCUGGCAGGCGGAGGUUGCAGUGAGCCGAGCUCACACCAGUACACUCCAGCCUGGGUGACAGAGUGAGACUCCGUCUAAAAAAAAAAAAAAAAAAAAGCCAUGAGACGGGCAAGUGAAAGUCUGAAACAGAUGUAGAUUCCAAUUCUCCUAUUUCUGCCACUUAGCCAUGCUGGGUCUCAGCAUCUCAUUUGCAAAAGGCCUUGCUGAGUUUCUCUAGGGGCAGGUAGCACACACCUGCCUUAUGUCAUGUGUUUGGAAAAACUUUUGUCUCCUCAUAACUCCAGCACAGCUCAGAGAUGGGAAGGCGACUUUUUAUAUUAACCUGAGGAGGGUAUUAAAUGAAGAAGGCAAUCCAGACAAGUGGCUAUUUCCUCCUAGCUUUGGCUCUGGGGACACCUUGGCAUCCUGGGUGACAUGGUAGGUUACAGAGCCGCUAAAAUGGGCAUGGGCAGACACACUGAUCCAAUACUAAGAGUUCAGCUGUAGCGUCCGGUGUUUCAUGAUACUCACUUGUCUUCCUCCCUUGCAACCCAGCCAUUUCAUGGGACCAACGGGCCACCACAGGGCAUGGGAUCAGAUCUCAACACAUUCUGCAGGCCCUUGUCGAAAUUCUUCCCUAGUUCACUAGUGGGAGAGGGAUUGGGUGUGGUUGCCAAAGAAAUAAAAGCG